CUUUUUAUGUGGUUGCCCAUUGUAAACUAAAUGACUCAGCCGACAAUUUAGCACUCGUUUCCCUAACCCAAAAAAGGCGGAAAAAAGCCCGCUUUCUUAUUUCCGGCUACUCCACGACCUACUCCACGAUUCCAAAUGCAGAAACAGAACAACUCCUCCCUCUCCUUCCCCUCUUUCUCUUCCAGAUGUGAUUCCGAGUGCUACACUUCUCCGACGUUUCUUCUUCACGAAAAUUACCAGUCUGGGAGGUUGGUGGAUCGGCGGCUAGGUCAUUUCCGGCACUUCUCUUCUUCAAGGCAAUUUGUCAAAAGUGGAUGCACUUCGGUUAGAAAAUUUGUAACUGGGUCAACUACUACACUAAUUGUAAGUAUAAUUCAAUUUACUUCUUUGUUUUUUAAUAUAAUAAAUAUUUUGAGACUAGCUUUGGUUUUAUUAUUCCAUUUUCUAUUAUCGAUAAUUGAAAUUCUCCAAGAUAUAGGAUUUGGUGUAUGUUAUACAGACUUGCAUUGAAUUGGUUAGCUUAGAUAUAGUUGAGGUGUAUUUGACAUAUAGUAUUAAUCAUUUAUAAUCCAUGAUCUUGCCUUGAACUGGUUAGCCGAAUUACAGUCAAAUUACAGUCAAAUUACAGUCAUUGAUGCUCUAGCCGUGCAGGUGCCAAAUCUUAUUGCUUUGAAAGAGUUUUCAGAGGUAAAAUCUUAUAAGUUUACAAUUGUUAGAUGUCAAGAUUUCUUCUUGGGUUUGGUGCUUCAGCUCAUCAACGACAUCCUCGACCUCUACAAGGUUAAUUGAGUCGGGUUUUAUAUUAUUGACCUUGUAUUAUUCAAUUUCUUGAGACAGUUUCUUAGUGUCCAUAAUUUUCUUAGUUAGCUGCAGUAUUCAUGGGAUUGAAUUCUUAAGAUGGGUUGUCUCUAGAGUAAGAGCUUCAGGAUUGGUUUCAUCUCAUGUCCUUUUUCUUAUGUUCGCUGCAGGUUAAUUAAAGAUUCCUAUUUCAUAUUUCAUUGUCAUGGAAAGGUGUUGCUGUUGAUAGUUAGAAUGGGGUUACUAUAGUAAUUCCCAAAGGGAGUACCAUACCUUGUGUGAAGGUUGUGACCAUGCUUCGGUUAGGUACAUUUACCGUUGAUGUGCAGUAUACAGAUGCCAGUAAGAUCAGUUCUUACAUGGGUUAGUAUACUCAUGGUCAAUUUAUGUUAUCUAUUUAAUUAUGUAGUGAUAAUACUGAUCGAGGGAAAAACUAGGUUGUUACUAGUCUCUCCUAAUCAAACAAAUUACCUAAACUAACCACUAAACACAAGUAAAGCGGUAAGCAAGGGUCGAAAUCCACAAGGACUAAGGUGCGCUAAUUUAUGCUAAUCGAACAACAAACUAGGUCGAAACGGGGUUUUGGAAAAUCCUAAUAGACUAAAACUAAUUAAACUAAACUAAGAAACCAAAAGUAAAUGAGAUUAGGGAAUGGGUCAAACAACAUAUCAUGGAAUGGACAUAAAAGAAUUGAAAACGGGGAAGAUUCACAAGCACUACAUGAUAAGCGUUGAAUUCACAAAUAGCUCCAACUAUCUCCCGACGUGCGAGCAAUUUCCCUAAGAAUCAAACAUGAACUCCCGUUCUACACUAUCAUCCCGGGGUAAGUCGAAAACCCAAUUCAACUACAUAAUCAAGUUUAGGUCUUUAAUCCCUUUCCAACCCAACUAGACUACUCCAAGCAAUCAUCGCACACUUAAUUGAUCAAGUUAAAUGCAACAUGUAUUGGAAAUGCCUAAACAUGCAAUAAUUUAAUCAUGAAAAUCCCUAAUUUCCAAUCACAAACAACAAAACCAAUCAAUGUUGAGUUUUCACCAAACCCUAAUCAAUAAACUACUCAGUCAACAUAAAAAUAAUAAAUUUAAAGACUUUAAUAACUAAUAACAUGAUACUAAGCAAAAACAACAACUAAUUUAAAGAUUUAAUUAUAAAACUAAACAUUAAACUAAUCUAAUCAAGAAACAUAUAAAACAAUAAAUAAGACAAUAAAUGAAGAGAGAAGAGUAAAGAAAAUCUCAUUGAAAUCAAGUUCCCCAUCUUUGAUUCUUCAAAAUCCAAUUUCAACCCAUGUUUCUCUCACUUUCUCUCUCUAAAAACUAACUAAACCCUAGAAAAUUAAAGAGAAAAAUAAACUAAUUAUGUACAUUGUUCUCCCCCUUUUUUAGAAAAUGGGAUUUAACUAUUUAUAUCCAUCCAAAAAUAAAAUAAAGAAAAAUGAGUAAAGAAAAAAAAAAAGAGAAGGAAUUAAAAAGAAAAUAAAAGAAAAAUAAAAAAUGAAAAUAAAAUAAAAUAAAGAGAAAAGAAAAAAAAAAAAAAAAAAAGGAACACAAAGCUCCCAGCCUCCCACCAAAACCCCCGUAGCUUCCCCUCCACUAGAAGACAAAAAAGAGUGAAAAUAAAUAAGGAAAGUAAAAGAUAAAAAGGAUUAAAAAAAAAAUGAAAAACCCCUUCCUUCCAAAACCAAAACACCAGACCCUCCUUUCUUCGUCCUCUACGCAUCACCAUCAUCUUUAAUCAUCGUCAGCAAUCGACCAUCAUCCACCAUCGAUCUUCUAUCAACGCAUCAUCAUCAGCCCGAAUCACCGUCUAUCACUCAUCAAUCAUCCAUCACCAUCACAUUCUAAUUCGAUUCCAUGGCUCUAAUUCGCAGCUCAUCUUCAAUCAAUCGGAGCCGUACGAUUUCAUUAAUUCCGUACCAAAUUUGAGCGCUCAAUUAUUCGUCCGAACACAUGGGAAGUUCGACCGAACGUAAUUUUGGUUUGGGCGAACUCUAUUGAGGUUCGACCUGACCUCAUACUUACAGGAACUAUUAUAAACGGGUUCGGUCGAACUUAAUACGGGUUCGAUCGAACCCAAUUGCUCUGUUUUUCUCUGUUUCUUGAUUGUGUUUUUGGGCGUUUCUUGGUGUUGUGGUUGGGUUGGAUGUGGCGCAUAGGUGUUGUUGAUGCUGAUUGGUGUACGAAGAUGAGGUUGGUGCUGCAUAGGUGUUGCUGAGUGGUUGUUUCCGGCGGCUCUUGUUGAUAGGUGAAGGGUGUGGUGUAGGAUAGAGGAGGGUGUGGUGUAGGCUAAGGAGGGUAGCUGAUGUUUGUGUGUAUUAGACUCUUGGGCAGCCCACAAGCAACAAAGCUCAUACCCCAAUUUUCUUGCUCUUUGACAUAGUAACACAAUUUGACUUGGCCUUUGAAACUCAUAUCCCAAACUUCGAGCAAGCACGCCUACACAAUUGAAAAUAAUACGAGGCGCGAAACUUGACAUGUAAAAAAAAAUAAGACGAAUAUAAAUAAAUAAAUAAAAUUAACAAUAAUAAAUAAUAAUAAUAAUAAUAAUAAUAAUAAUAAUAAUAAUAAUAAUAAUAGAAAUAAAAAUAGAAAAUUAAUAACAAAAACUAAAUAAUUAAACUAUAAAAUUAUAAAACCAAUAAAAUAAAUAAAUUAAGAAAUUAAGAUCUAAAAACUAACAAAAAUAGCUAAAAGCACUAGACUAAGCAAUAAAUAAUUAAAAUAAGAAAUUAAGGAAAAUAAAGACUAAAAAUGCUAAAAAUAGAAUAAAACUGACUCAAAUAAUGCCUAAAUUACUACCUUAUGAGUGACAUAAAUGUCACUCAUCAAAUACGCUAUUACAACAUGCAAUUUGUUGUUUAUUUUCCCGCUUCCACUGCCAUUUUCAAUAUCCUUUCGCUCUGCACCCGUUUCUGUGGAACAGAUAGAUUGGCCCUUUUCAAUCGAGCAACGGUGAUUGUGCAAUGCUUAAGAUCAGAGUGCGGUUGAAUCUGCAUGGAAUUGUGUCAAUUGAAUCAGCAACGCUCUUGGAGGAGAAGAAGUUGAGGUUCAUGUAGUUAAAGAGACAAAAUGGACACUGAUGAUAUUCCAACUGAGACUCCCUCUGGUGAAGCUGAUGUAAACAUGCAAGAUGCGAAGGGUCACUAGAGGAAAAAACGUGAUAAGUUGCUCUUAAAAGUGGCUUAUAAGUUGCCCUUCGUAAGUGCCACCAAUUGGGGGGUCACUUUUGUAAAAUUAUCAAAAGUUGCCCUUAAAAAGGGCAACUUAUAAUCUUAUAAGGUGCCCUUGUUGCAAACAAGGGCACCUUAUGUGAAACUUAUAAGGUGCUCUUGUUGCAAACAAGGGCACCACUUAUGUGAAACUUAUAAGUUGUCCUUGUUCCAAACAAGGGCACCUUAUAAGCUGCACAUAAGUUGCUCUUGUUGCAAACAAGGGCAACUUUUGAGUUAAUCUGCAAUAUAAUUCCUAAUAUUCUGCAAUAUAAUUUCUGAUUUUGAAAUAUAA